CGCGCUGUUGGCCGAACGGCUGACGGCGGCCGGCAUUCAGCCGGGCGAUAUCGUCGCGGUGGCGUUGCCGCGUUCCGUGCGCCUCAGCCUGGC
rnacentral:tRNA from 1 species